AAAAAAAAAUGAUUAUAAUAAAUAUUAAAUAAAAAAUCACUGUAUUUGUCAGAGUGUUAUUGAAGUAAAAAAAAAAAAAAUUAUGAUCGACCAAAUAAUUAUUUGAAAGUAAUAAUCAAAAUAUGAACUACCAGUACAUGUGUCGACUAAAGUCAACUGGCAUAACAGAAUUACAUUUUGGCAAAGGGCUGGUUUUAAGUAUUCUCACAGAACACAUUGGUUAAACAUUAUGUUAAUUU